rnacentral:lncRNA from 1 species
UGACAACAUUAGGUUCCACACCUCUUUGAAUCAUUAUUUUGAUUAUAUUCUGUGCAUUUGAAACCAGUCCUUUCUUACAAAGAGUGUUGAUCAAUAUAUUGAAGGUAACAACAUUAGGGAAUAUGUUCCUCCCCACCAUUUCUUUCAACAAGGCCAAAGCUUCCUUGAAAUGGUCUGAAAUGCAAAGACCAUCAAUUAAGGAAGUGUAGGUGACCACAUUAGGCUCUACACCUCUUUGAAUCAUUAUAUUGAAUGUAUUUUGAGCCUCUGAAACCAUUCCAUUCUUACAAAGAGCAUCAAUCAAUACAUUGAAGGUAUAAACAUUUGGUAAUAUGUUCUGCUCCACCAUUUCAUUCAUCAAGGCUAAAGCUUGGUUCUUUUGGCAUAAUUUGCAAACACCAUGAAUUAAACUAGUGUAAGUGAUGACAUUAGGUGAAAUGCCCUUAUUCCUCAUUUGAAAGAAGAGCUCUAAAGCCUCACCAACUAGCUCAUCUUUGCAAAGGGCGUCAAUGAUUGCACAGUAUGUCACAACAUUUGGCUCACAACCUCUAUCAGUCAUUCCCUAUAGUAGCCCAAUAGCCACAUUUGUUUUCCCAAAUUUACACAAUCCGUUUACUAUCACAUUGAAAGUACGAACAUUAGGUUGAUAACCACGUGCAACCAUAUCAUCGAAAAAUUCCACUGCUUUGUCGAUUUUACUCUCUAUACAAAGCCCAUUAAUUAAGGUAGUAAAUGUCACAACGUCAGGCUCCAAUCCGAAUUUGAGCAUCUUACCAAAAACAGAGAAGCCAAAAUCCACAAGGAGUAAAUGGCAGAAGCAAUUAAUUAAGAUGCUAAGAGAAUAAACAUCGUGAGAGAUUCCUAGCAAUUCAAUUGUUUUGGACAUGGAAAGGACAGUGUGAUAUUGUUUCAUUUUCACAAGGGCAGAUAAGAAUCUAUUAAAAUGAACCCUAGAAGGCAGAGGAUUCAUAUGAAUUGCAUGAUUAAAGGAAGCAAUGGCAUCAUGAAGGCGGGUAAAAGAAGCAGAUUUGAAGUUAUUUGUCAAGAAGCGUGCAUCUUCAAGUGUGGAAGUAGAAGAAUGGCAAUAAUUGGUAAAUAAGAAUAGGAAUGGAGAUUGAAUGGUACCAAUUGCCCCUUGUAGCUGAAGAUGGAAGCUCCUGCUCNNNNNNNNNNNNNNNNNNNNNNNNNNNNNNNNNNNNNNNNNNNNNNNNNNNNNNNNNNNNNNNNNNNNNNNNNNNNNNNNNNNNNNNNNNNNNNNNNNNNNNNNNNNNNNNNNNNNNNNNNNNNNNNNNNNNNNNNNNNNNNNNNNNNNNNNNNNNNNNNNNNNNNNNNNNNNNNNNNNNNNNNNNNNNNNNNNNNNNNNNNNNNNNNNNNNNNNNNNNNNNNNNNNNNNNNNNNNNNNNNNNNNNNNNNNNNNNNNNNNNNNNNNNNNNNNNNNNNNNNNNNNNNNNNNNNNNNNNNNNAUUAUUUAAUAACAAAUUAAAUUUAUCAUUUUAUAAUAAAUAAUUUUGUAAAUAUAAAUGCAAUUAAGUCUCACUUUUAUUGAAGAGUUAAAUAAUUUUAAUUUAAAAUUUUGGAUAAAUUAAAUCUCUAUAUUAUUACUCAAAAAUUAAAUAAAUCAUAAUUUAACAUAAUAUUAUUUUUUAAUAAUAAAAAUUUUUAUAUGAUAAAACUUUAUUUAUAUAAUUUUAAAAAUUAUUUAUUAUAUUCAUAUAUAUUUUAAAAUUUUUAAUUUUAAUUAAAAUACUAAAGUUUUAAUGUUUUAAAUUAUAAAAAUAAUAUUUUAUCAUUAAAAAAUAAUAUUAAGUUAGAAUCUAUUUAGCCUUUAAUAAAAUUACAUAGUUUAAUUAGCUUAAAAUUUUAAAAAUUUUAAAUUGAAUUUAUGUGACUCUUAAUAAAAAUAUAGAGAUUUAAUUAAAUUUAUUUUCAUAAAAAUAAUAUUUUAUUAUAACCGUACCUUAUAUUUAAUUGAAUUUAUUUAAAAUUAAUUAAUUUUGUUAAUUUUAUUUUUUAAAAUAAAAUAUUAUAAAUAUAAUUGUAGAAUAUUAAUUUUUUAUUUUAUUAAAUAAUAUUCCUUAUUUAAUAAAUAAUUAUCAAUGUAUAUUUUUAAAAAUAUUAUUAUAGUCUAAUUGUAUAUAAUAUAGACGAGGAAAAAAUAAAUAGUUUAUUGUUUAAUUUUACUCUAAUUUUAUUUUAGUAUAAUAAAAAUUAAUUUUUUUACAAAGCUUAACUCUCAUGAGAACUGUUUGGCACAUUUUUAUUUUGACAUUUUAUUUGAAUAAUAUUACAAUUUUAAUUAAAAUCAGUAAAAAAUUAAUAUACAAAGUUAUUUCAAAAUAAUAAAAUUUUGAAAUGUUAAACUCACUAAAUAUAUUUUGCAUUUUAAAUUUUAUUUGUUAUUUUAUUUUAUUAUUAAUAAUAUUAACGUAAAUUUAUAAUAUGUAAAUUAUUUCUAUGCAUUUAAUAUAUAGUAUAUUGUAUUAUAAAUUAUAAGAAUAAUAUUUUUAAAGUAUGAAUAUAUUUUUGUACAGAAUUUCAUAAAAAUUAAAUUAUAAACAUUUUAUUUAUAAGAUUACAUAAUAAAUGUUAAAUUAGAAAAUUAAAUUACUGUGUGAAUCUAAUCAUAAAAAUAUAAAAUUAUCAAAAAUUUAAUAUUUUUAUUAAAUGUUUAUUGCUAAAAAUUAUAAUUAUUUUUUUAACUAUAUACUUCUUAUACCUAUUUUAUAUCAGUCAAACAAUCCUAUGCAUUCCAAUAAUAGACAUCAUUCCAAAGUGUUAUAACAGAAAAAAUCAUCUUGCAUGAAUAACAGUUUCAACCAAAGGAGAAAUACAACAUCAUGAAUGUUUCUUCAAUUUUAGCUUCAAAAGUCUUAAGAGUUUAAAAGACGUCUUAUUGUAAAGAUAUGAAUCAACAACUUUUUAAUUUGUAUUGAUAAUGCAGUGAUUUUUUCAUUGGCAAUCCAAUAAAAGUCCGUUGGUAAAUGAAUUAACAAUGGAUUACUAACAGAUUACGAUCCGUUGUUAAAAAAUUUGGUAGUAAAUUUUUACCAACGACUUUUAAAUUCGUUAGUAAUACUAGUGGAUUUAUUAACGAAAUUUUCGUUAUUAUUACCAACAGAUUUUAAAUUACUAACAAAUUUUAAAUUCAUUAGUAUAAAAGAAAAAUAAUUUAUUAAUAGACAUGAAAUCCAUUAGUAAAUUAUCUAUGAAUUGCAAUUCAUUAGUAAAUUUAUUGAGAGUUUAAAUAAUUUUUUAUUAAUUUAAUAAGAUUUAAAAUUAUAUUAUUAUUGUUAUUAAGUUUUUAAUUUGUAUCCAAUAUUUAUUAGAAAUACAUAGACAGUGAAAAUUAAAAAAAAAGAGUAAAUGGUACAAAAUGAGAGAAAAUAAUAAAAAAGAGAAAAAUAAAGAAAAUGAUAGAAAAAUAAAAAUUAUGAAAAAGAAGAAAGAAUGAGAGUUGAGUAAAAAGAUAAUUAGAGAAAUAAAAAAAUGAAUAAAUGAUUAGAGAAGAAAAUAAAUAAAGAUAAAAUAAUAGAAAAAAUUUAGAUAGAAAGAAAAUGACAGAAGAAAAUAAUAUUAAAUAAUUAAUAUGAAUGAAAAUUAUAAAGAAAAUGAAGAAGAUAAGAGGAAAGGAAAUAAAAAGAUGGAAAAGAAAAUGGUGAAAAUGAUGGGAAAAUUCUGAAAAAUGAAAAAGAGUAAUAGAAGAGGGAAGAGAACGAGAGAAAAUAGGAUAAGAGAUGAAAGAAAAAUAAUUGAAAAAAAUUAUGAGAUAAAAAAGUGAAAUAAAAGAAAGAAAUAGAAAAUGAAAGAAAAUGAGAGAAAGGAAAAAAAUGGAAGAAAGGCAUAUGAUAAGACGAAUGAAUGAUAAAAGCAGAGAAGUUGGUGUUAUAUUUAUAAACUUAAUUAUUAGUAAAUUUGCAAUUCGUUACUAAAUUUUGAAAAAAAAAAGUAACUUUUUUCUUUCUAAAAAUUACCAAUGGAUUUGAAAUCUGUUAGCAAAUCCGUUAAUUGAAAAAUGUGAGUUGUAAAAAAAAAAGAAAGAAUUUUAUGUAGGAUUUUAUUUUAAAUUUAUCAACAGAUUUACUAGCAGAUAGCAUUUGUUGAUAAAUUUAAUAUUUUUUUACUUAUUAAUUUAAUGAUAAAGUUAAGUAACGAAAUUUUAAAUUUGUUAGUAAUUUUUUGGUAAUUUGGAUUUAGAGUUUAUUAGUAAUUUAAACACUUUUAAAAAUUUAUUUAGAGUGUAAACUAAUUGUUUUGAAGAGUUCAAAUUUAGUCCGUUAAAAUUUUUUUAAGUUUGAGCCGAACUCGAGUUUUGCUUAUUUCAAACUCGAACAUAGUAUUAAUAAGUUUAAACUUGACUCUUUUAGCAAAUGAACUUAGACUAACCAAGUUUUUAUCGAGUUUAAUCUCAAAUAAUUCACCAAUAAUUUAAUUUAUUUAUAUGUAUAAUGAAUUUUAGUUUAAAACUAAAUAAGUAUAUAUAUUGAAACGGCUCGACCCAAACUGACCCAAAUAAUUUUUAGAAAGUGCCCACUUUCUACUUGUAGUUUCAUUUUCCGUAUUCUAUUGAUGUGGGACGUCUUCCUACAUUAAGCAAGCAGAACAGUUCGGCCCAAACUGACUCAAAUAACUUUUGACCUACUUUCCACUCGGCCCAAAAUGAUUAAUCCAAGUUAUUUAUUAGUUUAGUGGUUAGCUAUUAUAUACGAUUUUGAUUUUCCAUACUCUGCCGAUGGGGACGUCCCACAUCAAGUAAAAAGCUGACCUUCACAUAUACAAAUUAGCUCAUAAACUUAUAAGAUGAACUCUUAACGAUCCAAAUAUAUGCAAGUUUUAAUAGUAUAAUUGCACAAUAUAGAAUUAAACUUUAUAAAAUUUAAAUUUGACUCAUAAAAAUAUAUGUAAGAUUUGAAUUUAUUUACCUUAUGUUAUUAAUCUCAGCCUACUUAACGAAACUAUUUACAAGUCUAUUCGCGAAUCUGCUCAUGAAUUCAAAUGCGAGCCACGUUCAUAAGCCUUAACGAGACGAAUAUUGUGGAGUUUAAAUUUGCCUCGUUUACUAAACAAACCUAAAAAUUAAAUUUGAAUUUGACUCGUUUAGAAAUUGAGUUGAGAUUAAUCAUCGAGUCGAAUAUCGAAUAGUUCACAAACAGUUUGUUUCAUUUACACCCCUAAAUUUACUAAUAGAUUAAAAUUGUUAAUGAUUUACUAACAAAUUUUAAGUCUAAUAGUAAAUUUCAACAUUAAUUAUUUUAUAAAUUUAUAAAUUCUCAAUAAAUUUUUAAAUCUGUUAAUAAUACCAAUGAAUUAUCAAUGGAUUUAAAAUUUGUUGAUAAAUUUUUAUAUAAUUUUUUAUACUAAAAAUUACUGAAAGAUUUUUAAAUUCGUUAAUAAAUCUAUUAAAAUUAUGUAUUGAUAAAUAAAUUACUAAUAGAGUAUAUUUAUAAAAUUUGUUUGUAAAAUGUGCUGAUAAAAAUAUCACAACUAUAACUUUUUCUUUUAGCAUGUUCCCACUAUCUCGCUUAAACCAUUAAAACGAUGUAUUACAUGAUACUGAGAUUUUGUAGCAUAGAAAAAUAUAUCAGAUUGCUAACAAGAAACUUCCUUUUAUAUUUAGUUUUGUAUAAGUAGCUCUAAAAGUGACUCUAUUUCUCUGCAACCAAAUUUAACACUUUCACAAAUAAAAUAUUUUUUCAUCUCUUUAUUAGUUGUUUAUAUAUUAUUAUUAUUAUUAUUAUUAUUAUUAUUAUUAUUAUUAUUAUUAUUAUUAUUGCAAAUAGGCAAUUAAAUUUGUGCUCCUAUUAUCUUAAUAUCAUAUUAUUAUAUGAAUAUAUUUAAUCAAAGUUAUCCAAAAAAAAUUAUAAUAAAAUAAAAUUAAAAAAAUAUAUCAUUUUAGUUGAUUUUUUUAUUGUAAUUGAAAUAUUCAAAUUUUUAUUGUAUUUAUUAAUAUCUGUUAUUUAAUAAAAUUAUUAUUAACAUAUUUUUUAAAAAAAAAUUAUUAUAGUCGAAUUAUAUAUAUAUAUAUAUAUUUAUAUCAAUCAUAAAUGUAUUAAUUAUUUUAUAAUUUUUUAAUUAUACGAGUAAAUUACGUAUUAGUAAUAUAAUAUAUAUUUAUAUAUUAGUUUCAUAUAUUUUUUAAUUAAAAUUAUAUAAUUAAUAACUACAUAAAAUAUUCUUAUCGAGAGUAGUUGUAUAUAAUAUAUAUAUAUAUUACUACAGUUAUUAUUUAAAUAUUAAUAUUAUUAUUUUAAUAUUAAUUAUUUACUAUUUUAAAAUAUACAUAAAAAGCUAUUAUGAUUUUAUUUGUAAAAAUUAAAAUUUAAAUUGAAAUGAAACUAAAAUUAAAGUAAAAAAAAUUAAAAUUAAAUUGAGACUGUACUGAAAUUACUUAGAACCGUAUCAAAACUAUACUGAAAGUUAGUUUCAAAGUGGUUCUAAACAUUAAAGUAUUCAAAAUUUGAUUUGAUUCUAGUUCUUAGCAACAACUAUAAUUUUUUCUUUAUAUUAAAAACUAUAAUUUUUCUUUUAUAUUAAAAUAUUAAAAAUUUAAUUUGAUUCUGAUUUUUAGUAAAAACUAUAAUUUUUCCUUUUAGGAUACUAUCUAGCUUGAACUAAUUAAGUAGUAUAUUUCUUAAUGAUGUAUUGUAUGAUAUUGAGAUUUUAUAGCAUAGACAAAUAUAUCUAAUUACAAACCUUAAUAUAAGUAAAUUAUUAAAACAUAUAAUAGUUUUAAUAAAAUAUUUAAUCUAUUAAAAUUUUAAUAUUAUAUUUGUUAAUAGAACAUAAAUUAAAUUAAAAUAGUAAAUUAAUAGAACAAAUCAAAUUAAAAUAUUUUAAACAAUAUAUAAUUGUAUAAUUUUUUAAUCCAUUCAAAUAUUAUAUUAUAAAUUAAUUAAAUAAAUUAUAUUAAUAAAAAUAAAUUAUAAAUUUUACAAUGUAAUUAUUAGUAUUUAUAAAUAAUAACGGGGUCUGAAAGUUAAAAAAAAGAGUAAAUAUUUAUUUUUUAAUUAAAUUUAUAUGGAAAUGGAUAUUUUUAAAAAUUUGUUUACAAAAUUGAUUUUAUUUUUUUCUUUUUAAAAACUAUUUAACAUCAACACAUCUAGGUUAGCUGCUAAAUUUAAUAGUCUGCUAAAGGAGAAUUUGAGAGCAACAUUACCAACCGAUCGUCUAUCAUUCCAAGAUUUUAUUUUCAUCUCAUUCCCCACAGCAAAUUUGAUAUGAUUAAAAGGAGAGAAGAAAGAUCUAAAUUUAAUUUUGUAAAGUAAACAACAACUGAUAUAGAUUCUUGGGUUCUGAAUCAUUUUGCAAUCAGUUUCCUACCUCUCAAUAUGUACCCUGUCAAACCCACCUUCUCUAACAAACCAUUUCCCAUGGAUGCAGAAUCAAAAAAACUUCAAGAAAGAUGCAUCAAGCAAAAAGAAAAAGGAUAUUACAAGGUUUAGAAAGUGGUAAAAACACAAAAUGUCUCAUUAUAUACUGCUGAAAGGAGAAAAGAAACAACCAAAAAAAAAUUGUAAUGGAGAUGGUGGGUUUACCAGCAACUUGAUGAUUAGAAAUCCAUGACCUCCAUUCAUCAACAAUCUUAUAUCAAAGAGAUCUAGUCCAUGUCUGAAUUCAAGCGAAAGGCACACACAUAUCAUGGUUUCCACCAAAGGUCAUUUGCGGUGUUAGAAAAUUUCAUUUUGUGAAAGAGAAUCACAGCUGAUUGAAAUUAAAAAUGAUAUUUGAAAAAGUUAGUUAAAUUACAUAUCUAUUAUAUUUGAAAAAGGUAAUUACCAAGUUGCGCUCCAAGACACACUUGAAUGGUCAAGAUAUAACAACUUUAGUUUGCUGAUCGCUCAUUGCGCACCUUUAAAAGCCUCAGAAUGAGAUCAUUAUUCCGCGAUAAAUGUACUACCAAUUCGGUGGUAGCAUCAUCAGCAGAGAACCCCUUAUCAACCAUUUCGUUGAUUAGUUCUGAUGCUUUUGGUAAAUCCUCAUGCUUGAGAAACCCUUGAAUGAUGAUAUUAUAACACCAAUUAUUCGGUAAACAUCCUCCCUUUUCCAUGUCUCUAAAAAUCUUAUACGCUUCAUCCAUUAAUCCUUGUUGGCAGAGCCCUUUCAUAAUUGCAUUAUAUACACAAAUAUCAGGCUGUAAACCAAUUUCAAAAAGACUAGAAAACAGUUCCUUGGCAUCAUUAAUCUUCCCAACUUUGCACAUACCAUUGAUCAGAAUGCUAUAGAUCACAAAAUUAGGCUUCAACUGACUUUUCUCCAUUGCUUUCAAUAGUGUGAGUGCUUCAUCGAGAUUCCCUUGUCUACACAAGCCAUCAAUCAUAAUUGAGAAGGUUACUAUAUCUGGCUGUUGACCAUGAGAGCACAUAUCCUUAAAGAGCUCUUUUACAUUUUGGGGCCUCCCCGCUUGAAACAUACCCUUUAUAAGAAUAGAAUAAGUAACAACAUCAAGAACUAAACCUUUAUGAGACAUUUCAUCAAAAAGCUCCUUUGCAUCAUCUAUCAUUUUGCACUUACAAUAUCCAUUGAUCAAAAUGCUGUAGCUAAAAAUGUUAGCUAUUUCAUUGGUCACCAUCAGAUCAAAUAGCUUUCUAGCCUUAUCAAUUUGCUUGCACAGACAAUAUCCAUCCAUCAAUGAAUUAUAAGUGACAACAUCAGGUUCCACACCUCUUUGAAUCAUUAUUUUGAUUAUAUUCUGUGCAAUUGAAACCAGUCCUUUCUUACAAAGAGUGUCGAUCAAUAUAUUGAAGGUAAAAACAUUAGGGGAUAUGUUCCUCCCCACCAUUUCUUUCAACAAGGCCAAAGCUUCCUUGAAUUGGUCUGAAAUGCAAAGACCAUCAAUUAAGGAAUUGUAGGUGACCACAUCAGGCUCUACACCUCUUUGAAUCAUUACAUUGAAUGUAUUUCGAGCCUCUGAAACCAUUCCAUCCUUACAAAGAGCAUCAAUCAAUACAUUGAAGGUAUAAACAUUUGGUAAUAUGUUGUGCUCCACCAUUUCAUUCAUCAAGGCCAAAGCUUGGUUCUUUUGGCCUAAUUUGCAAACACCAUGAAUUAAACUAUUGUAAGUGAUGACAUCAGGUGAAAUGCCCUUAUUCCUCAUUUGAGAGAAGAGCUCUAAAGCCUCACCAACUAGCUCAUCCUUGCAAAGGGCGUCAAUGAUUGCACUGUAUGUCACAACAUUUGGCUCACAACCUCUAUCAGUCAUUCCCUUUAGUAGCCCGAUAGCCACAUUUGUUUUCCCAAAUUUACAAAUUCCGUUUACUAUCAUAUUGAAAGUACGAACAUCAG